rnacentral:rRNA from 1 species
GAUGAACGCUGGCGGCGUGCCUAACACAUGCAAGUCGAACGGAGAUUACGGACGGAAGUUUUCGGAUGGAAGACUGUAAUUCUUAGUGGCGGACGGGUGAGUAACGCGUGGGCAACCUGCCCUAUACAGGGGGAUAGCAGCUGGAAACGGCUGGUAAGACCGCAUAAGUCGGCGAGACCGCAUGGUUUUGCCGGGAAAUGAGCAAUCAGGUAUAGGAUGGGCCCGCGUCCGAUUAGCCAGUUGGCAGGGUAAAAGCCUACCAAAGCAACGAUCGGUAGCCGGACGGGGAGGUCGGACGGCCACAUUGGGACUGAGACACGGCCCAAACUGCUACGGGAGGCAGCAGUGGGGGAUAUUGCACAAGGGAGGAAACUCUGAUGCAGCGACGCCGCGUGAGUGAAGAAGUAUUUCGGUAUGUAAAGCUCUAUCAGCAGGGAAGAUGAUGACGGUACCUGACUAAGAAGCCCCGGCUAACUACGUG